rnacentral:rRNA from 1 species
ACCUAGCGGCGGACGGGUGAGUAAUGCUUAGGAAUCUGCCUAUUAGUGGGGACAACAUUCCGAAAGGAAUGCUAAUACCGCAUACGCCCUCGGGGGAAAGCAGGGGAUCUUCGGACCUUGCGCUAAUAGAUAGCCUAAGUCAGAUUAGCUAGUUGGUGGGGUAAAGGCCUACCGGCGCGAUCUGUAGCGGGUCUGAGAGGAUGAUCCGCCACACUGGGACUGAGACACGGCCCAGACUCCUACGGGAGGCAGCAGUGGGGAAUAUUGGACAAUGGGCGAAAGCCUGAUCCAGCCAUGCCGCGUGUGUGAAGAAGGCCUUUUGGUUGUAAAGCACUUUAAGCGAGGAGGAGGCUACCGAGAUUAAUACCCUUGGAUAGGGACGUUACUCGC